GUGGGGAAUUUUGGACAAUGGGCGAAAGCCUGAUCCAGCCAUGCCGCGUGCAGGAUGAAGGCCUUCGGGUUGUAAACUGCUUUUGUACGGAACGAAAAGACUCCUUCUAAUAAAGGGGGUCCAUGACGGUACCGUAAGAAUAAGCACCGGCUAACUACGUGCCAGCAGCCGCGGUAAUACGUAGGGUGCAAGCGUUAAUCGGAAUUACUGGGCGUAAAGCGUGCGCAGGCGGUUAUAUAAGACAGAUGUGAACUCCCCGGGCUCAACCUGGGAACUGCAUUUGUGACUGUAUAGAUAGAGUACGGUAGAGGGGGAUGGAAUUCCGCGUGUAGCAGUGAAAUGCGUAGAUAUGCGGAGGAACACCGAUGGCGAAGGCAAUCCCCUGGACCUGUACUGACGCUCAUGCACGAAAGCGUGGGGAGCAAACAGGAUUAGAUACCCUAGUAGUCC
rnacentral:rRNA from 1 species